AUGCCUCGCGGUCUCCUGUCCUUCUUGCGCCUUCUUCAUGGUGUCGGUCGACGUCGACAGAGCCGCCGCCGCCAUGGUCUUGGCGGACUUCGCCGCCACGACUGCAAUGCCCGUGAUCUUCGGCGGUUCGGAGGCCGCCAGAACAGUUUCCGUCGUCGUGGACCACAUCUUGGACAUGGUGCCCGAGGAUCUGGUGCUCGCGAUGGUGCUGGACCUUCUGGUGCUUCGCCUGAACCGGCCAUGCCGGCGAUGGUGCCGCUCCCGGCCUGGAUUCUUGUCGGACCGGCCGCUCCAAACCUGUAUGCGGACGAAGUAAUGGAGCCCGUGGAUGAAGCAAUGGAUGUCGACACCGUCGGCGUUGAGCUGGAACUUGCGGCUCUUCCACCACUACGUCCAUGCCCGGUGCACGGAUGGGGGCCAUGCGUGACACCGCCGUCGUUUCCACCACAGGAUUACGAUGUCCAGGACUACAAGGUCCAGGAGGAGGCCGAGCCCGCGCCGCCCGCACAGACGGACUCCCCGCGUCUUUCGUCUCCGACGCCGGCGCAUGAGGCGGUAGCCGCUGGGGCUUCUUCGUCGAGCGCUAGCCUUGGGCUGCACCUCCCCGUGCGGACUGCUGCGCUCGGGGACGUCUUCGACAACGGGGCGAGCAGCUCCACCGGCCCAUCGGCGCCUCGCCGCUGGCACAUAGUGCCGCGUGCCAUGCUGCAGCAUGCCGGUCAACGGCCGGGAGAAUGGAGCCCGGUGAAUCUCGGGCUGGCCAAUGGGCACUCCAAUGGAGUCACGCCCGGGACACACCUUCCUAAAGGAUCUUCUUCAGAGGAGGAGGAUGCUGCGCUGGGGCCUUCGACCUCGCGCCGGUGA
rnacentral:rRNA from 1 species